GACUAUCUUCCUCAACACAAAACAAUCUCUGACAAAGCUUAUGACUUGGAAGCUUCAAGCUCCAAAACUAUGUCCCGUAUCUCCAAAGCCCUUUUCCUAUAAGAUACUAACCACUCCAUCUAAUAAAACCCAAUAUCCAAACCGGUGCACUGUAGGUUUACAUCCAUUUCAACAAAAUGAAACUUGUGACCUUCAUUAUUACGUUGCUAUAACAACACAAAUCAUGUCCUUCCAAAUUUGCAAUCAGCUCCUACAAAAUUUGGAACAAGGAACAUGAAGUACCAAAGAUGCUACAUUGCAUCACCUCAAUGAGCAUCAACCUAAAUCUGACUCUUCCACAAGGCAAGGCGUCUCCAUUAACCGAUCCCAUGCCUUUUUGCUUAGCUUUCCAAGGCUUAGGUGGAUGUCAAGAUACCUACUGGGAAUCAGCCUCAACAAUCUAGCUAAGGACAUGCACGACUUCGAGAUACUCGUGCCAUCACCAUGGUCAAGUUGAGAUUUACUCUCUGUCUAGGCACUAUUUCAUACUGUAUCAGAACAAGUCUGAUUGUAAGUUUUCAGCCUCAUUGUACUGCCAUUCGCUAGUCCCCUUUUGCCAAUGUUUCUAUUUCUUCUUUAAGUCUCAUUCCUGAUUUUUCCUCCUUAUUUCUCUAGUUUUAGCAUUUUCAGUUCCAACAGUCGAAAUAAAUUCAGUCCAAUCCAAACAACUGAAACUUACAUAAAGCAGUUUCUUUUUUUUUACCUCGAAAACAUAUUUCACAGAUCAGUCAAAACUUUAAGAGAAUCCAUUCAAGAAAUUAAUCACUACAAGAUCUUGGACCCCCAUGCUAAACUGAAACUGGGUAUGCAAUCAAAAAGAAACUCUACCCAGUAUGCAUAACCAAUCCACUGACUAAAAUUGGAUAAAACUCAUGACACAAAGACUAAUAGAGGUCAACGAAGUAACAAAACCCCCAAUCCAUGAACUCCCGCAAAACAAGAUCCCAAACCUCCAAUGCUCUACAAAUGAAAAGCCCAUAAAAGAAACAAGAGAAAACAGGAGAGAGAGAGAGAGAGAGAGAGAGAGAGAGAGGUAGUGUCCGUACUACUACGACUACGUACGUAGCGACGACCGACGGAACGGUACCGGUUACGUACGUAACGUACGACGACGACACGUAACGAAGGANNNNNNNNNNNNNNNNNNNNUAACCUAACGUAACUAACGUAACAACGUAACGUAACGAAACGAAACGAACGAAACGAAAGAAGAAGAAGAAGAAGAGAGAGAGAGAGAGAGAGAGGAGAGAGAGAGAGAGAGGUGUGUUCCCAUACCUAGCACUAGGUGCACG
rnacentral:lncRNA from 1 species